UACGGAGGGGGCUAGCGUUGUUCGGAAUUACUGGGCGUAAAGCGCGCGUAGGCGGACCUGCAAGUCGGGGGUGAAAGCCCGAGGCUCAACCUCGGAACUGCCUUCGAUACUGCGGGUCUCGAGUCCGGGAGAGAUGAGUGGAAUUCCUAGUGUAGAGGUGAAAUUCGUAGAUAUUCGCAAGAACACCAGUGGCGAAGGCGGCUCACUGGCCCGAUACUGACGCUGAGGCACGAAAGCGUGGGGAGCAAACAGG
rnacentral:rRNA from 1 species